rnacentral:rRNA from 1 species
GACAGAGGUGCCAAGCGUUAGGCGGAAUCACUGGGCUUAAAGCGUGUGUAGGCGGAAUGGUAAGUACCUUGUGAAAUCCCACGGCUCAACCGUGGAACUGCUGGGUAUACUGCCCUUCUUGAGCCACUUAGGGGCUGUCGGAACAAACGGUGGAGCGGUGAAAUGCGUAGAUAUCAUUUGGAACGCCAAUGGUGAAAACAGGUAGCUGGGAGUGUGCUGACGCUGAGACACGAAAGCCAGGGGAGCAAACGGG